ACGAUUUGAAGAUGCAUCCAUCCCACGUAUCCCCACCCCCAUAUAACUAACUAACUCAACUCCCUCCGUUACGCACACACACACUCUCUCUCUGUAAUCACCAUUCUCCGAUGAAAUCACCUCAGCGCAGUUCUGAUGAUUUGGAAGCCGGCGGCGAUGCUCCCAAGUCCCGGAACCACUCUCGCCGCCGCGGCAGAGGUAUUUUUGUUGCGGUUGAUGCUUCUAUACGUUUUAAGUCUGCUAUGGGUUGCGAAAAGGAAAUUGAGCUCGGAUCUCAUGAUCAACCUACUGCAAAGGAUGUUAAACUAUCUCAGUUAGAGGAACAACCAGUACAAGUUGAAAUUGAACUCCCAGCCUCGUAUCCAGAUGAAUUUGGUAUCAGAUUGGAGGAACUUGUUUCUAUAUCCUGUGAUGGUGGUCUAAGUGUUUUAAAGCGAUUUGAUGGGGUUAGCGGAUUAUCACCUCUGUUGCACACCGAUCUAGACAAGGGUAUCUGUGGUACUCAUGAAGACAUACGGAGACGAAGGAACAAAUUUGGAUCCAACGAAUAUCCUUUGAAGAAAGAAAGGAACUUUUGGAUGUUUCUCGGGGAAGCAAGCAGAAGUUUUACUUUGAUCGUGUUGGUUCUUGCUGCACUGGCUUCUCUGCUGCUGCAAAUAAAAACUAAGACUAUCAGUCAUGAAUGGUAUGACGAAGCUGGCAUCAUUGUUGCAGUUAUCCUUGUCAUCUUUGUGACAGCUAUCAGUAAUUACAACCAGUCUCUUCAGUUUGAAAAGUUGAAUGAUGAGAAGAGAAAUAUAUGUAUCGAGGUUACUAGAAAUGGAAGACUGGUCGAAGUUCCGAUUUAUGAUGUAGUUGUUGGCGAUAUUAUACCUCUUAAAAGUGGUGACCAGGUGCCUGCAGAUGGUGUCUUAGUUUCUGGGUACUCGCUUCAGAUAGGUGAAUAUGAAACCAUGGGAACUAACAGAACGGUUCACAAAGAUACAGAUAUAGACCCAAUUCUAAUAUCCGGAUCUAAAGUGGAAGAUGGCAUCGGUAGAAUGCUGGUUACUAGUGUCGGGAUGAACACCCAAUGGAGGAUGCCGAUGGCUUGUAUUCCACUAUAUACUGGUGAAGAGACACCGUUGCAGGUGCACCUGAACCGAGUUGUUAUUGCGUUUGGCCUAAUCAGUAUCUCGGUUGCUUUGGUUGUUUUUCUUAUCGAGUCAUGCCUAUGCUUCAUGGGCCGAACCAAAAAUACAGAUGGUAGUCCGAUGUUUGAUGCUGGGAAAACUACGUUGGAUGAAAAAAUAGACAUGGUGAUUAAGUUUAUAAUUUUGGGGGUUACCAUUAUAGUCGUGGCCGUGCCUGAAGGACUUCCAUUGGCUGUUACUUUGAACAUUGCCUAUAUGACGAGAAAACUUCUAGGAGAGAAGGUUUUGGUGCAAAAGCUCUCUGCCUGUGAAGCAAUGGGGUCUGCAACAACUAUUGUAUGCCACAAGACCGGGAUUUUAACCUUAAAUCAGAUGGAGGUUGUUGAUGUUUGUGCCGGACGAGUAAGAACGCAUAAUUUGGAUACUAUGGCAGCAGAGUUGUCUCCCCUUCUAAUCUCGUUGAUCACCGAAGGAAUUGCCCUGAACACGAAUGGGAGUGUAUAUCAUCCUGAGGGACAGUCUGAACCAGAGGUCUUUGGAUCAGCAACAGAACGUGCCAUUCUUAAUUUCGGUGUCAAGCAGUUAGGAAUGAAUUUUGACGAAAUAAAGUCAAAAUCAACAAUUUUUCGCGUUUCACCUUUCAAUUCAAGGAGAAAACGUAGAGGUGUUGCAGUCCAAUUGCAUGAUUCUCAAGUCCGUGUUCAUUGGAAAGGUGCUGCCAAGACUAUUCUAGCUUCUUGCCAGUGGUACAUGGACAAGGACAACAUAGCAGCUAUGGACCAAGAAAAAAGGUUUUAUUUUGAAAAAACCAUUGAUGAAAUGUCCAAAGAAGGAUUGCGCUGUGCUGCCCUUGCCUACCGAAAAUUUACUGACGGAGACAUACCUGAAAGCAACCUCGUUCUAUUGGCUAUCAUUGGUAUAAAGGAUUCUUGUCGGCCAGGCAUAAGUCGGGCAAUCCAACAAUGUCGUAAUGCUGGAGUAAAGGUGUGCAUGGUGACAGGCGACGACCUUCUGACUGCCAAAGCAAUAGCGAUGCAGUGCGGGAUACUGAGAGGAACCUUAGACGAGCCUGCGAAUACAGCAAUCUUAGCAAGCGAAUUUGCUUCGAUGUCAGAAGCAGACAGAGAAGAAAUUGCUGAAAAUAUUGUAGUGAUGGGUCGAUCUUCUCCUGAUGAAAACCUUCUUCUACUUGAAGCACUGAGAAAGAAGGGACACGUGGUUGCAGCAACUGGAAAGGGAAUCCGUGAUGCUCCGAGCCUGCGCCAGGCGAAUAUCAGUCUUGCAAUGGGCAUUGGGGGGACUGCAAUUGUUAAAGAAUGCUCUGAUAUCAUUAUAUUGGAGGACAAUUUUACUUCGAUUGUCAAGGUCAUCCAAUGGGGACGUUUUUUAUACACAAAUGCUCAAAGAUUUCUCCAGUUCCGGCUAACUGUCAACGCAUCAGCUCUAAUUAUAUGUGUUGUUGUGGCGGUUCAUUCUCAUGAAAUUCCCCUAAACGUUGCGCAGCUUCUGUGGAUUAAUCUUCUCACUUUUACUUUUGGAGCAUGGGCCUUGGCAUCAGAACCACCAAUGGACAACUUAAUGCGAAGGCCUCCGGUUCGUAAAGGUGGAGCCAAGAGGAUAACUUGGUUUUGCUCCUACUUAUGUGAAUUUCUGAAGUGGAUGGAGAGAAAGAAGUCCAAGAAAUUCCCUAUAAGUAGGAGCAGAACCAAAGAACCCUUUAUAACCAAACUCAUGUGGGCGAAGUUUGUUGCACAGGUUUCUUUCCAAGUGAGUGCAUUGCUUUACCUAAACUUUCGUGGAGAGAGUAUACUAAAACUGGAGAACAAAAGUCUAGAUCAAGCUAACAAAGUCAAGAACACAGUUAUAUUCAAUUGCUUUGUCUUCUGCCAAGUAUUUAACGAGGUUGAAUGUCGAACUUCAUACCAAGGAAAUACAUUCAGCGGGAUCCUAAAGAACCAUUUGUUCCUUGGAACAAUUCUUUUAAAUGUUAUACUUCAGAUAAUCGUCAUAGAAUGCCUUGGCAUAUUCUUUUACACAGCCAGGCUUAACUUGAAGCAGUGGCUGAUCUCGAUUGGAAUCGGUUUUUUCAGUCAAGUCAUUGGUCGUUUUCCUUUCCAAGCAUUUCCUUACCUCCGGAACGAAGAUCAUAUAUAAGACAUAAAGGCUGAUAAAGAGCUGGAGAUGCUGUUAUCGAAAGAGAUUGAAGGAGAAUAACUCGGAAGCUGACGUGGACAAGAGUGAAGAAUAAGAAGCUUAACGGUUCUACGUGGGAAGUCGUUAGGGACUUUAGAAGUUAGUUCGGUUCGAGUUGUAAUUCAAGCUAUAAAUAGUGGCCUUAGAGUUUAUAGAUCUUCGGCUUUGUAUUGUGAAUUUUGGGUCUUUGGUUUGUAACAUUAAGAAGUGUUAUACAGUUCGUGUUUAUACGUAUUGAAUACAUUGUGCUAUAUCA